rnacentral:lncRNA from 1 species
GUGCGCCUGCGCCACCUCCGUAGUUGCGUCCCAACUUUCAAGAAAUCGUACGGGACCCUCCGCACUCUGCGGCGUGGGGACUUUGUGUGGUUCGCACGGCUGGCGUCCCGGCGGUCUCUCUCCGCCGGGUUCCUCUCAGCGUUGGCUGGUGGGAGUCCGCUCGGAACGUUAAACCACGUUCCAAGCUGCCCUUCCCUCCGCCGUUCGAUUGGCCUGGGCGGGCCUGGACGUCUUCAUUUUUCAGAGCCUGGUCCUUCCGGGAGGCACCGGCGAUUGAGCCCCGUACAGAUCGCCGGGUCCCCUGCACCCCCUCCCACGGUUCCAGCGUGAACGGUUCACCCCAGCGGGACUUAACAUCUGCCCUCCCGGCCGCCCUCACCGAAAUCCGCUUUCCUCUCCCUGUGUCCUUGAUCUCUUCGGGUAAAGGGGAGAUGGAAUACAAGAUCCUUGACUAGAGAGUAUUACUUUUCCCUUUCGUCCUUAAGCUACAUUUUGGAUAAAAAUGUAUAGAUUUUCUGGUUCUACGCACAAUUUGUCUAUGCUUGCUGCGUGUAAAAGUGCUGCAUUUGGAGGUUUUCAAAAACAUUCUUUUUGUGUGUAAUACCCGUUCUUUGAAAUUCAAAAACAUAAAGUACGACCGGCAUGGUAGUGCACGCCUGUAAUCCCCGCACUCGGAAAGCUGAGGCAGGAGGAUCGCUGAGUGUUUGAAGCCAACCUGGACUACAUCCCAAAUUCAAGGCCAGCUUGAUCUACACAGUGAGACCCUGUCUCAAAAUAUAAAGUAUGGGUAAGUGAAACAAAGAAAAAAGUGACCCUAAGUCUCAUUUAGCAUUAACCACUAUAAACGUGUUUGUAUAGUAUUCACAUUUUGUUUGUGUGAUGUAUCAGUUAUCACGUGUGGCCUGUGAAACCUGAGGCAUCCAGGAAAUGCUCUUGAAAGCUAAGCCAUCUUUCAUUGGUUGACGUUUGCACUGAUCAUGGUGCGAGGCAGAAGUGGGUAACAUUUCCCCCUGGGAGGGCUGAGGGUUGUUAAUGCUCAUAAUCAUUCCCUGCAGACUAAUGGUAGCAGGUGGCUGAAUGGGCCGGGUUCAGUGUAGGGUCUCCUGACCCUACGAAUAAUUGCAUUAACCCCCAGCUCUUCAGUACUCAUCUUUAAUAUUUGCUUAAUUUGACAAACUGGGAAGUAUGUGUAAAUCUCUUCUACCUCAUAUCAAAAUACAAUAGUUGUUUCUUGAAAACACUUGUGGGAUGUUUGAGUAGUAGUCUGAACUAGCUGCUUUGUCAGUGGAAAUAUGUUUACUUGAAAGAAUGACUGAUGGACAAACUGUUUAGACGUGGGUAUUCUGGAGAUAUUUUUGAGAAAGUGAACACAAGGAGGGUGUCACUUCAGUGGAAAUC